rnacentral:sRNA from 1 species
GAGAAGCUUCGACUAAGGUUCGACUCGAGCGAAGCGAGAGAACGUUGCCGCAGGCAACGGCCCGAAGGGCGAGGCGCUUUAGCGCCGAGUAAUCCUUCCCCCACCACUG